AUUUUGGGGCUCCAGUGUGGCUUUGAUGCCGUGAGGUGUUGAGCUGAGGUAGCUUGGUCACCAGCACGGCCAUUCACGUCUUGCAAGAUUUAGUCAAAUUGUAGAAGUUUAUAAAGAUUAGAUUACGCUGCUGACUUCCCCACAACCUGCCUAGCUGCCUAGUGUAAUGCUCAAUGUCUGUACAGUGACAAUGCUUGAGACCAGAUGUUACACGUACCAACAAUUCUACACAUGGAGUCAUGAGACAAUGAUUGUUGACAACCUCAUGUAAAGGACAAUGAGAAGUGUAGCUCACAGCCAGGAUGCCUUUGAGUUCCUCAGCCACCACUUCAUAUCAGAAGAUCUUAAGAAUCAGGAAAAGUUUGCUCACUACUCAGUCUCCUUGACAUCUAAAGGAUGUGAUAUAGGACAGUUAUAAAUGAACCUUUGGCUUACGCGGAGACAUCAGGCAGACUGAGAAGGUCAGUACCACUGAACUGUCUGCUACAUAAAAGCAGAGCUGAAUUAAUGUACAUUUGAGAGCCAGAUUGAAAAAACAUAGUUAUGAAAAUGUAAAUACAAUCUAAUUUGAUGGGGAAGUACAAUACACAGGAAACAAGAGUGGCCAGAGUGAUUGGUACCCAGUAAGGAUGGCAGAUGCAAAACAUCCACUGUUUGUGUAACUUAGAUUUUAUUAUAAUCCAGACAUUUUGCCACUCAUAUCCACUGCACUUAUAUUCACUGCAUGGUAAAAGCAAUAAUAGAAGUACAGAGCACUUCUGAAAGCCUCACCACAACUCGAAAUUUUUUGUGAGCCUGUGGGAGAACAGUUUCAGAAUUUCAGACAUCCAUAGCAAACCAAAGUGUUUUCAGAUUUGUUGUCAAAUGAAUAUGUAAUGCUGCACAAAGCAUGCAUUUUAGAUCCCAGAUUGUUAGAUUAUUUAAGUUUACACAGACUAAUAUGAAACUAAGCUCUUUCACAACUGUCCAGAAACAAAUGGUAUUUUAAAGUGAAACUUUGGUAUUCCUAUAUGCUUUUUCCCUAAGAACACGUGCUAGCAAUGCCUUUCCUACUAUUGCAGAUAUUCAUAAUGCAUUGCUUAGAUGACUUAAUAACCACUGACUACUGGAAAAUACGAUGAGUCAGAAAACAAAUGUGUAAAAGAAAUUAAAAUGUUCAGCUAUAGUGAAAAACAGCACAGGUUAGAAUAUUGGAAGUGUUCUAUAUAAGAAAAUGUAAGUUCGAAAUAUCACAUGACCUUUUUGCUAAAAUGUUGCACUGUAGUCAUCAAUUUCAAAGAAUAAAAGGUCAAAAGUC
rnacentral:lncRNA from 7 species